AUUGAACGCUGGCGGCAUGCUUUACACAUGCAAGUCGAACGGUAACAGGCCUUCGGGUGCUGACGAGUGGCGAACGGGUGAGUAAUGCAUCGGAACGUGCCCCAAUCGUGGGGGAGUAACGUAGCGAAGUUACGCUAAUACCGCAUAAGCCCUCGAGGGGGAAAGGCAGGGGAGUCGCAAGACCUUGCGCGAAUGGAGCGGCCGAUGUCAGAUUAGCUAGUUGGUGGGGGUAAAGGGACCGUACCAAGGCGACGAUCUGUAGCGGGUCGUGAGAGGAUGAUCCGCCACACUGGGACGUGAGACACGGCCC
rnacentral:rRNA from 1 species